GUAAAUGCAGGUAUUUUCGAAUCCCUCAUUCAUUUCUCCCUCAAAUUAUAAUUUAUCCCUCAAAUUAUAAUUUAAUUCUCAUUUAAGCAUCGGAGAGGGAAAUCGAGAUUCCCUCUCGAUCUCCCCUUUUUGCAGGUCGUUCGGGAUUCGUUUGUGGACGACUCUCGCCAUGCUUAUCUUAUGGAAGACAAGUUCUCAUUGAAUAAAGAGUUCAAAGUUUCAAAUGGCCAGCAAACCGUACUUCAUAUAAGGGAGGUGCAUUCGGAAUGCUCUGUAUUCCUGCAGAUCUCAUCAUUUCGGCUGGAAUAUUGCUGAAAGAAUCCCGUGAACGCAAACUCUGUUUAUCGGCAUGUAAGCAUAAUCUCCUUCUCAACUUUACUAGUUAGAUCGUACAAGGGAAUAAGGAGAUUGUAAUCACCAUGUCAACUGCAAUAUUUUUUACUGUCUAUACGAACUCCCACUGAUGGAUGUAUAUUAACUGAUUUUGUCAAUGUAACUUUAAUCUGGAAUAAAUCAAUAUCAAUCGAGCGAUUAGUACGUCGUCUUCUCGGAAAGACAUGGUCAAUUAAAGAUAGAGAAUGAGGUACUGAUAAGUCAGAACAGAAGUGGAAUGAGAUCUAUAUGCAAACCUUAUCCAACAUGCGGUUUUCCAGGAAGCCUUUUGAGAACUGGAAAGACCAUAGAACUUCUUCACGUGAGCCAUUUUGAUCUGACCAAGCAAAAGCCUCUCCGAUUUCAUGUCCCCAUGCAAAA